AACGAACGCUGGCGGCAGGCCUAACACAUGCAAGUCGAGCGCUACCUUCGGGUGGAGCGGCGGACGGGUGAGUAACGCGUGGGAACGUGCCCUUCUCUGCGGGAUAGCCACUGGAAACGGUGAGUAAUACCGCAUACGCCCUUUUGGGGAAAGAUUUAUCGGAGAAGGAUCGGCCCGCGUCUGAUUAGGUAGUUGGUGGGGUAAUGGCCUACCAAGCCUACGAUCAGUAGCUGGCUUUAGAGGAUGAUCAGCCACACUGGGACUGAGACACGGCCCAG
rnacentral:rRNA from 1 species